GCCGAAAGAGCUCAGUUUGGAGAGCGCUAGACUUUAAAUCGAAAGUCCCUGGUUCGAUCCCGUGUUGCGGCA
rnacentral:tRNA from 1 species